rnacentral:rRNA from 1 species
GACGAACGCUGGCGGCGUGCUUAACACAUGCAAGUCGAACGGAAAGGCCCUGCUUUUGUGGGGUGCUCGAGUGGCGAACGGGUAAGUAACACGUGAGUAACCUGCCCUUGACUUUGGGAUAACUUCAGGAAACUGGGGCUAAUCCCGGAUCGGAGCUCCUGCUGCAUGGUGGGGGUUGGAAAGUUUCGGCGGUUGGGGAUGGACUCGCGGCUUAUCAGCUUGUUGGUGGGGUAGUGGCUUACCAAGGCUUUGACGGGUAGCCGGCCUGAGAGGGUGACCGGCCACAUUGGGACUGAGAUACGGCCCAGACUCCUACGGGAGGCAGCAGUGGGGAAUAUUGCACAAUGGGCGGAAGCCUGAUGCAGCAACGCCGCGUGCGGGAUGACGGCCUUCGGGUUGUAAACCGCUUUCGCCUGUGACGAAGCGUGAGUGACGGUAAUGGGUAAAGAAGCACCGGCUAACUACGUG